GCUUUUGGAAUCUUUCGCUGUCCUCACACAGGGGCGCCUCUGAGGCUGGGCCUUGAAGUCUGCGGAUUUUCCGCUUGCUUCUAUCCGCAGACACAAAGGCCAGUCCUGGCGUGCGCGGGAGAGAGCGCUCGCACCCACGACUGUGAGCACACAUACACAACUGCACAAAGACGUGCUACCUCUACACACACACACACACACACACACACACACACACACUCUCUCUCUCUCUCUCUCUCUCUCUCUCUCUCUCUCCACACCCCACCUCCCGACAGGCUCGCGCGCACAGCCGUGCACACGCACCAGCACUGGCACGCGCUUGCGUGCACGCGCUCCCGUGGACCAGCCGCGGCCGGCCACGCAGCCCUCACUCUCUGGGCGCGCACACGCAGAGCCGCGCACGGAGGCAUACACGCGCGCUCACACCCGCACGCUCCACGCCCCUGGCGGCGGCCUGGGCGCUGUGCUGCUCGAGCGACGGGCGGGGACCCGGGCGGGGGCGGCGGCGGCGACAGCGGAGGAGGCGGAGCGGGGUAGCCGGGAGCGGGCUGGCCCGCGCUUCUCCUGGCGGCCGGGGAUUUUCCAGCCUGGACGCUGACGCCGCGGACCUCCCUGCGGCCGCCGCGGACCAUGGGCGACAAAGGGACACGAGUGUUCAAGAAGGCAAGCCCCAAUGGAAAGCUCACUGUCUACCUGGGAAAGCGGGACUUUGUGGACCACAUUGACCUCGUGGACCCCGUGGAUGGUGUGGUCCUGGUGGAUCCUGAGUAUCUCAAAGAAAGGCGAGUCUACGUGACACUGACCUGCGCCUUCCGGUAUGGCCGGGAAGACCUGGAUGUCUUGGGUCUGACUUUUCGGAAAGACCUGUUUGUGGCCAAUGUGCAGUCCUUCCCACCGGCCCCCGAGGACAAGAAGCCACUGACACGGCUACAGGAGCGACUCAUCAAGAAGCUGGGCGAGCAUGCCUGCCCCUUCACCUUUGAGAUCCCGCCAAACCUUCCAUGCUCAGUCACUCUGCAGCCUGGGCCUGAGGACACAGGAAAGGCCUGUGGUGUGGAUUAUGAAGUCAAAGCCUUCUGUGCUGAGAACCUGGAGGAGAAGAUCCACAAAAGGAACUCUGUGCGGCUAGUCAUCCGGAAGGUUCAGUAUGCCCCUGAGAGACCUGGCCCUCAGCCCACGGCUGAGACUACCAGACAGUUCCUUAUGUCAGACAAGCCCCUACACCUUGAGGCAUCACUGGAUAAGGAGAUCUAUUACCACGGAGAACCCAUCAGCGUUAAUGUCCACGUCACCAACAACACCAACAAGACUGUGAAGAAGAUCAAGAUCUCGGUGCGCCAGUAUGCAGACAUCUGUCUCUUCAACACAGCUCAGUACAAGUGCCCAGUGGCCAUGGAGGAGGCUGAUGACAAUGUGGCACCCAGCUCAACAUUCUGCAAGGUCUAUACGCUGACUCCCUUCCUGGCCAACAACCGAGAGAAGCGGGGACUCGCCCUCGACGGGAAGCUCAAGCAUGAGGACACGAAUCUGGCUUCCAGCACGCUGUUGCGGGAAGGUGCCAACCGUGAAAUCCUGGGCAUCAUCGUUUCCUACAAAGUCAAGGUGAAACUGGUGGUGUCCCGGGGCGGCCUCUUGGGAGACCUUGCAUCCAGUGAUGUGGCCGUGGAGCUGCCUUUUACCCUAAUGCACCCCAAGCCUAAGGAGGAGCCCCCACAUCGGGAAGUUCCAGAGAGCGAGACUCCAGUAGACACCAAUCUCAUAGAGCUUGACACCAACAACCUGCUUGCCUGCAUGUGACUUGAAGGACCCUCCAUGCCUGUUCCUCUUCCUCCUGCAUUGGUGGGGUCUGUCUUCCUUGUACGUCCGUCAGUCAGUCAGUCCGUCCGUCUGCAGCACCCACCCAGCUGGCUGACACGGGGCUGGUUCAGACUCUGGGGCUCCCCUCUCUUACCCGACCAAGCCAGUUGGAGGCUGCCUGUGGGGUGGAGAAGGUGUCUGGGUGCUGUCACUCUUGCGGCCUGAGGACCAACCGAUUCGGACUCCCCUGCGGUGGAAGGCCAUGGGGCACCAAACAAUGGCCAGAGGAAGAGGACCUGGUUCAAUGGCUUGAAUCGCCUCUGGGGCCAGUGAUGACGACAUUGUAUUUGAGGACUUUGCUCGCCAGCGGCUGAAAGGCAUGAAGGAUGACAAGGACGAAGAGGAUGACGGCACCGGCUCUCCGCACCUCAACAACAGAUAGACUAGGGCCGGCCUCAGCCCGGCAGCUCCAGGUUCACUCUCGCACUCGGAUGCUUUCUCGUCUCCUUCCCAUUCUGGUUCUUCCUUUUGUUCUUCCAGUUUCUACCAAGGGGCCCCAGUGGUCUUCCAAGUCUCGGUGAUGGGCCUCUCGCAUCACCACGCCAGCAGGACCACGUCCUCAGCCAUCUCUCUGCAAUCACCUGCCCACCUCCUUCUCAUGCUCAUUCCCAGGAAGGCCACACUGCCUGGCCUUGGGAUUUGGCUUGAGAUGGGGAGCAGAAAGGGGAGGGUGGGGCCUGAAGGCACAAUGAUGAUGGGUGUGAAGAUGUGGAGGGGGUGGGCAAGAUGGCUCAAGACACACAAGAAGAUGUCUGUAGUCCCAGUAGGUGACAGUUUUGGCAGCUAAAUGAUGACCAGAUUGAAGGUGGGAGAGGGCAGGACUGUGAAUAGAUUCUCAAUGCUUUUUUGUGUGUGUGUGUGGUCCAGGGCCACUAGAGACUCCUCCCCCUCCAUCCUCAUCCUUGGUCCAUGCCCCUAUGUCUCAUGGGGGAGGCACAUAGACCCCAGGAAUGAAGAGCAGUGGACUGACUUUCUAACCAGAUGACACCUAGAUUGAAGCAGGCCACAUAUGUCAGAACUGAUAGACUGAGAUAUCAUAGCUUCAUUGCAUUUUUGUGUGCUGGCACAGAGAGGGGAAGUGGGUGUUUAACAAACACCAGCCCCUAGCAGUGAGCCAAAGCUACUGAGGAUGUUGUCUGAGGGGAGUUUAAGUGAUAGGGCCGGGUAGGGAGGCAUCCAUCCUCUUUUGUAGUGGAUAGUCCUUAGGGAAACAAGGAUGGAGGGACAUAGGCAGCUGGAGCCACCUGUAUCUCCCAGCUUCCUCUAGUUCUUCUCCAGUGACUGGCCCUGUAAGGUAGGAGAGAGAAAGAGACAGAGGUGCCUGAGGCCAUUAUUUCCACUGCUAAGGGAUCCCGUUCCCAGAAGGUGGCAUCCAUCCAUCCAGAUGUACUCCCAGGACGAAGGCAGCUCCUCUCCUAAAGGAGUUGGUUUUAUUAGUACCCAGAGUCAUGGGUACCCGGUUUCCACCAGGUGGUGUUAGUAUGACUUGACCAGGGUGAAUCUCAGGGUAACAGGGCAUACAAGUGGUAAAACAGAAAAUGCUCAAAGAUAUCCUUGUUUGGUCUUCGAUGCUAGCUUGUUGUGUGACCUUGGGCCAGUUCCUUCCCCUCUUUGGGCCUCAGUUUCUUGUUGGAAAAGCCAGGAGGUCGACCAGAUGAUUCCGAGAGUUUCUUGUUCAAGUUUCUGUAAGUUUGUGGCUCUCAAGAGCUUCUGAUCUUCCAGUUGGAGCUGGGGCUGCUAACUGCUCCGUCUGCCUUCAGAAGAGGUUCAUGGUGAGGACCCAGGACAGAGCAGAUCACUGAGUGUACCUUCCUGCCGAGGCAGGGCUGCUCUUGGACCUAGUCAGCUUAUCUGAUAUCAGGUUGUGGCCAGAGCUUUUGUGGACUUCUCUAUCCCAGAGCUUCUGUGUGUGGAGACUUGCAUGAGAAGUGUGGGAACAACCUUGGGUUUAUCAAACAUAAUUGCUUGUUAGGGCAAGAGGAUCUCAUCUCCGUUUCUGUUCCUCUCUCUUAGUUCCACACUUGCCGGAGAAGGGAGGCCACAGCUUGUGUUUGGUUUUGAGACAGCGUAUCAUGAGGUGUAGGCUAGCCAUGAAUUCACUACAUAGCCGCGAAUGACUUUGAAUUCCUGAUCCUAUUGUUUCAAGUGCUGGGAUUGCAGGCAUGCCCCUGCCACUGCUGGCGCCAUGCUUUAUUGUACAGAUUAGAUCCCAGCCAUUCUUAGUCCAUCAUGCCCAGUGUUUGUUGUUAUUUCUUCUGGUGAGAUGGUCCAGGCCCACUGCUCUGAACCUCCUACAUUUCAUAAGCAGUCAACUCAAGGAACCUCUUCCCAGGUUAGGACAGCCGUCUUGGGGCAGCCACAUUGCCUGGCCAGCUCAGAUCAUAACUGCAAGCUCCCCUGACAUCUAGCCCCUGCCAGAGCUAGCUGGAUACUUUUGCACCUAUAGAAUUGAUUAAAACCUUGAACAGUGUAAGGCAAGCAUGUGCCCUCCAACUGGCUUCCAUUAAAACCUCUGGAGCUGAUACCAGACCCUUUAGCAUUUGGACUAACCUCUCCUGUCCCCCAUCCUUAACUGAUACGAGCAAAAGGUCUCCCAAUCUGGUUUCUCAGGCUUCCUACACGUCAGCAUCCACAUUCUUUCCGUUUAUCCCACAGAUCUACCUGCAGGGGAGCAUCAGAGCCCUGGCUGCCUCUUUGUGUUUUGAGCUACGCCUGCAUAAGGGCAAUGAUCAAGUUAGAGUCUAGCCAAACCAUCCUUUGAUGAUAGCUUUGUUCUUUUAUGCUGUAUACUACUAAGAUGGAUCUCACCCUAGAAUCCCUGUCUCUAGAAACCUUCUGGCCAGGGGAAAUCUAGAAGACCGCAUUGACGGUUCUGGCUACAGCUAGUCCACACAGUGCCUUGAUGUGAGUUUGAAUACAGUGUCCUUCCUAGGUGGAUUCAAACCCUGGAAAUGACACUGUAAGGGGCUGGAAUUUGGUGUCAUUUGUCCCUACUCCACAGUCUUAUGCUGCCAUACUGGGUGAGAUACACAGGCUCACGUAUUUCUUUGGCCUCUUCUUUUCUUGUCGUGCCCCACCCCCAUCACAUGACAUAACCCAGUACUUCUCUGUAGGGCUCUUUUUUGUUCUGGAGUUUUCCUGGCCAGGCAGCACUUGGGAGUGAAACUGGAGGCGGAGGUUUCCAGGCACCAUCCAGUGAGAUUGGGUUUUCUUGUGCUGACAGAUUGGGACUUGGGCCACCAAACAGCCCACAUUGGGACUUUCCAGUAGACCAAAGGGCACAUGUUAAUGCCAAUCUGGGCAAGAAGAGCAUGCUUUGUAAAAGCUCAUCAAUUGAGGACGACUGGACUUGCCCAGUACCCCAGCCAAGAGAAGAAUUUGUCUCCUAGAAACAUAAGAAUUGAGAUGCUUGGCUGGACCCCAUGGCCACUUCAGCUUCAAAGCGCAACUGGCAUCCCCCUGGAGGGUAGCUGAUUCCCAUCUGAUGCAGUGAAAGUCCUGAAAGUCCCCAAGGCCACCUCUCAGUCUCUCCUCACUGGAACAAUAGCCUUUGUCUGCUUUAUUUGAGGGCUUGCUGUGGGUUUGAAGUGAGAUGUAGGCCAACUGGCUGCACAGGUGUGGCCCUGUUGCUGCAGGGAGGAGGCCCGAGGUCACACAGGAAGCUUGCUGUGGAAUGAGCCCUCUGUUUACCAGUCUUUGUCCCUGUGUCCCAGGUUAGAUAUCAGCCAUGAUUAUCAUCGUGGCUUUGUGGCUUUGCUGAUCACACUGGGGAAGAAGUGUAGGUGCUAUUGUCCUAGGAUGGGUCCCGUGGCAACCAGGACACGGAAGGCUUGGAUGUUGUCAGUGACUGGGGGGCAGGGAGGAGCAUUUGAGCCUCGACUCACCUCCCAGAAGCCCACAGAAGUGAGGAAAACUGGGCUCUGACCACAGGUCAGGGAGCUGAGCUCAGUACUGUGAUCACCCAAGACAUCCGAGGGCAAGAGGAAAUAGCUGUUGCCUCUUCUAAGUAUACGGUCCCAUCUUGGGUCAGAAGAACCACCACAGCUCCUUGGAGACCUUUGGCAAUGUCCAGCCCUCUUGCACUGAGAGCUGAGCCCUAGCUGACCCACUCACAGACGCUUCAUGUCCUGGGGCAGCUCCUUCCCACCAAUGGCUAAGGCCUGUAUGUGUGGCUCCCAACCCUCAGUGAAGGGCUGGUCUCCAGCCUUUAUCUCCCAGGACACAAACUUGUGUCUCUUCUGAUAUUUACUCUUUUUAAACUUAAGGACCAAAUGAGACUUCUCUGAUUUUUAUCCGAACAGCCUGUCUUGGGCCUGGUCCAGGCAGCUCCAUAACUUCUGCCCUCCCCGCUCCUGGCCUGAAGCAGCCUAGUGAUGGGGGCAGAUCCACAUCUUGGCCACCCCAAUCCAUGCACACUAGCACCUCCCUCAAUAUCACCAACUUGUUACCCCUAAAGGGAGGUCAAAGUUGAAGCACAGGUCCCUGGGACCCACUGUCUGCAGACCAGGCACACCUCUCAGUGUUCCACACAGCCUGGCUGGGGGCUGCUGCCAGGGGAAACUGAGGAAAGGGGAGAGGAGGGUGAGUCUCCAGCCCUCCCCCCAUUCCUACUUUCUCCAGAGUAACUGCUUUUAACUCUCUUGUCUAUUGAGGUUUCACUUUUAAACUCUUUGAAGAAUAACUUCAAACCACCAUUUUGUGGUUUGGUCUUAGACCAGCAAGCACAGGUUCUCUUUUGGUUUUUAUGUGUUGGGGUGACUCCAGCAUCCUGGCACAGAGACACUUGUUGGGACUCAGGUCAUCUGGUCCAAGCAUUAGAGCACACAUACACUGGUUUUCUAGUUGACCACCCUGCACCUUGGGAAUGAAUUUGAUGUGGGCUGGGUCUGCUGCUCGGGGCUUGGUCCCGAUAGUACGUGUGCUUCGUGGAGACCACGGAGUGAGGAGCCAGGCCCAGUGUCCACUCGGGACACAUUCUCAGGGCAAUGGGAGGAGAACCCAGGGCUGGCUCCCUAUGCACAGCUAAGGGGUGGGGAGCCAGGGUCAUGUAAGAGAUGCACCACCAGGGAGGGCUUUUACGAGGCAGGAUUCCUCAGGCAUUUGAAGCAAGUCUUCCUUCCUCCAGUGAAUCUCCUAAGAUUCCACUUCCACCCCUGUGGAUGUCCAUGUGCACAACAGCAGGCUUUUAUGCCUAAAGAGAGACUGAUCCCCCUUCUGCAGUCCACACAGCUUCUCUCUGCUGGCCUGCACUGCCAUGGGCAUUCACUUGCAGGACAACUCAUUGGUGAGAUUUGGGCUAGCCUUUGGCAAAAAGUCCUGCCUGGGCUCACCUCCUAGGGCAUUCUAGGUGAGGAGCUGAAGCUCAGGGCAUUGUCAAUCAUGGCACAGGGGAAAAGAAUGCCAACUAGUGUUUUAUUCAGUCCAAGUGUGGCCUGGGAGACCCCACUGGCCUCAGGUUCCCCAUGUGUGAAGGGCUAGUACCAGGCUCUGCCCCAAUCACAGGGACUACUGAAAGGGAUAUGAGGGUGAAGAGAGGCCGGAUGAGGCAGCAGCCUGUGUGAGGGGAUAGGGUCUUAGCCUGAGUUGCUGACCCACAUAGCCCACAACAAAUGACAGUGCAGGAUAUCCUGUCUUACGUGGGUAUCUCUGCGCAGUGUUAGGUCCAGUCAUAGGUGCUGCGGGGCUGCCUCUUCCGACCGGUGGGAGUUGAUGUGUGUCCUGGGUGUGGUGUCGAGGGGUGGCUGGGGCGCCCUCAGGCCUGUGACCCUCUGUGAAGUGAUGAUUUGUGUGGCACAUUCAUUCCUGGACCACGUCCAGGUCAACCUGUCGUACCUGUGGCUGCCCUUGUCCCGUGAAGUCAUUAUAGUUUAUUCAGCUGCAACAGGACAAAUGAGCAAAAGAACCUUGAACGAGAGGUCAUUAAAGGCCUUUUGUGAUGGAGGACA